GUAUUUGCCUACCGGAUACAAAAGCACUCGUUCCAUGGAGAUCAACUCAGGAUGUGGGAUCUUCGGAAUCAGAGUGAUAAGCGUUCUGUUUAAAGCUGGGGGCAGCACUCCUGUGCUGAAAAAAUUCUGCACUGAGAUUAAUCCUGUCACGACCAUGCGAAAAGGUCGAUUUACUCCAUCUGGCAAGGACUGUAGAGAGAGACUGAAGUUUUCGAUCCAGGGAUGCAAAUUGGAGAUGUGAAGAAUCCCAAGCUUCUACAAUGACCUGUCUACUCUACUGAUGCUGGACCCAAAAAGCUUCAAAAAUGAAGGAUUUAUAACGCUUUUGUUUGGGACCAUCGGUGAGUAAUAGAAGGGGACCGUGGUCGGACGCGAUUGCAGGAAGAGCAAAAACUUCUGCUGCAGGCUGCUGUCGUUGAAGAUAAACCGAAGGCACAUGGAUACAGGGGAUUGUUGCGGUGGCACAAGUUCUGAGCUGGGACAAUCAGCUUGAGGGACCUGCUGGUUGAAUGAAACAGAAGAAACCAGAGGGGUGCUAGGUAAGAGAAGGCGUGAGUGUUGCGGAGUUUCAGGUAUGACCUCCUCAACUCCUUCACCGGUAGUGUCUUCAUCGUAGAAAGCACGCCAAUAUGGGCUAUGUUCCUUAACAUCAGCUCUUAACCAGUGACCAAAGGAUAAAUUAUCUUUCCCAUCUUGUUGUGACUCAGCAUAAGGUAUAGUGGGACAAUACAUGGCAUAAUGUCCGAUAACCCCACAUGAAUAACAAAAGUAGGAUAAUCGUUCAUAUUUGAAAUCCAGCCAUGUAUUCCUACCUUCUAAUCUUAAAAGCUUGCCUGGUUGUAGAGGCUGUUGUAAAUUAAGGUCGACACGAGCCCUACCUGCCCGUAAUGUCGUAUUUUCCCUGCCUUCAAGUUUCACCUGCUGCACCGUACCAAGAUGCCUCAUAAUUCUACUGAUAAUCUCCUCUGUACAACGCUCAAUAGGAAGGCCGAAGAUGUGCACCCAGAAGGCACAGGUAUUGAAAUCAUAAUGAUGCAGAGGAGUGUUGGGCAACCAGGGCUUCAAGAUAACAAGGAACAGCUUCAUCCCAUACUUCAACCUCUUGCGGUGACCAAAGGCGACCUAAUCUGGUGCAAAGAGCAGCAAGGCGUACAUCUCCGUCCUGACUUGAGGAUGCCAUCUGCAUGCAUGUCUUGGAACCGGAUGGAAGAAGCUUCGCAAAGGACUAUGGAGAGGGAACAGUCAACUACCUCAAGAAAGGAACGAAUCCCAGUAAAGUAUAGUGAAAGAUAUAGGAAAGAUACUCAGAUAAAAAGCGUCCAUUGAUGCCGGGCAUGGAUGUGAAUUAUGUAUGGAACGAAGAAACAAGACAGCGGAGAAUUGCGAGAACGAUAUAGAAAUUGACGUGAAUUAUGGAUGGAACGAAGAAACAAGACAGCAGAGAAUUGCGAAAAGGAAGGCCAUAGCUGGAUACUGUUAAUCUGGAAGAAAAAUCGAGUGAUGAAACAUACUGACGGAUGAACCGAGGAGAUUAGAUUUGGGUUUGAGGGUUUGGUACUGAAGUGCUACCACUAGGUAGUGAAAACUCUACAAGGCGAGAGAGAAACCUGACAUUCGCAGGAAUUCGACUUUGAAUAGUUCAAGUGGGGGGCAUCACUGGCUCGAAACUACUUUGCUCUAGAAAUGCAUGUUAUUAAAGUGUACUAAUUUCUAAUAUCUUAUUCACCUCUUAAGAAGCAUGCCCAUGCUAAAA